GGACUACACGGGUUUCUAAUCCCGUUCGCUACCCUAGCUUUCGUGCCUCAGCGUCAGAAGAGAUCCAGUGAGCCGCUUUCGCCACCGGUGUUCCUUAGGAUAUCAACGCAUUUCACCGCUCCACCCUAAGUUCCGCUCACCUCUAUCUCCCUCGAGCACAGCAGUUUUGGGCGCAGUUCCUCGGUUAAGCCGAGGGAUUUCACACCCAACUUGCUGCGCAGCCUACGCACCCUUUAAGCCCAGUGAUUCCGAAUAACGUUCGUACGGUUCGUCUUACCGCGGCUGCUGGCAC
rnacentral:rRNA from 3 species